GAUGAACGCUGGCGGCGUGCUUAACACAUGCAAGUCGAACGAAGCAUUUAGGACAGAUUACUUCGGUUUGAAGUUCUUUAUGACUGAGUGGCGGACGGGUGAGUAACGCGUGGGUAACCUGCCUUGUACUGGGGGAUAGCAGCUGGAAACGGCUGGUAAUACCGCAUAAGCGCACAAUGUUGCAUGACAUGGUGUGAAAAAGUCCGGUGGUAUAAGAUGGACCCGCGUCUGAUUAGCUAGUUGGUGAGAUAACAGCCCACCAAGGCGACGAUCAGUAGCCGACCUGAGAGGGUGACCGGCCACAUUGGGACUGAGACACGGCCCAGACUCCUACGGGAAGCAGCAGUGGGGAAUAUUGCACAAUGGAGGAAACUCUGAUGCAGCCACGCCGCGUGAGUGAAGAAGUAAUUCGUUAUGUAAAGCUCUAUCAGCAGGGAAGAUAGUGACGGUACCUGACUAAGAAGCACCGGCUAAAUACGUG
rnacentral:rRNA from 1 species